rnacentral:rRNA from 1 species
CCUACGGGAGGCAGCAGUGAGGAAUAUUGGUCAAUGGCCGAGAGUCUGAACCAGCCAAGUAGCGUGAAGGAUGACUGCCCUAUGGGUUGUAAACUUCUUUUAUAUGGGAAUAAAAUGCUCCACGUGUGGCAUUUUGUAUGUACCAUAUGAAUAAGGAUCGGCUAACUCCGUGCCAGCAGCCGCGGUAAUACGGAGGAUCCGAGCGUUAUCCGGAUUUAUUGGGUUUAAAGGGAGCGUAGGUGGAUUGGUAAGUCAGUUGUGAAAGUUUGGGGCUCAACCGUAAAAUUGCAGUUGAAACUGGCAGUCUUGAGUACAGUAGAGGUGGGCGGAAUGCGUGGUGUAGCGGUGAAAUGCUUAGAUAUCACGAAGAACUCCGAUUGCGAAGGCAGCUCACUGGACUGCAACUGACACUGAUGCUCGAAAGUGUGGGUAUCAAACAGGAUUAGAUACCCGUGUAGUC